GAUAAAUGACGGUACUUGAGGAGGAAGCCCCGGCUAACUACGUGCCAGCAGCCGCGGUAAUACGUAGGGGGCAAGCGUUAUCCGGAAUCACUGGGCGUAAAGGGUGCGUAGGCGGUUUUCUAAGUCAGAAGUGAAAGGCUAUGGCUCAACCAUAGUAAGCUUUGUAAACUGUUAAACUUGAGUGCAGGAGAGGAAAGUGGAAUUCCUAGUGUAGAGGUGAAAUUCGUAGAUAUUAGGAGGAACACCAGUGGCGAAGGCGACUUUCUGGACUGUAACUGACGCUGAGGCACGAAAGCGUGGGGAGCGAACAGGAUUAGAUACCCUGGUAG
rnacentral:rRNA from 1 species